GACGAACGCUGGCGGCGUGCUUAACACAUGCAAGUCGAACGGAAAGGCUCCUGCUUUCUGGGGUGCUCGAGUGGCGAACGGGUGAGUAACACGUGAGUGAUCUGCCCUUCACUUUGGGAUAACCUCGGGAAACUGGGUCUAAUACCGGAUAGGAGCUCCUUUUGCAUGGUGUGGUUGGAAGUGUUUCGGGGUGGGGUGAGCUCGCGGCCUCUCAGCUUGUUGUUGGUGUGGUGGCCUAUUACGACGUCGAUGGGUAGCCGGCGUGUGAGAGGGUACGGCGACAUAGGGGCAGAGAUACGGCCCAGAGUCCCACAGGAGGGAGCAGUGGGGGGAAUUGUACAAUAGGGGCAAGCCUCAUGCAGAGACGCGGCGUGGGGGAUGAGGGCGUUCGGGGGGUAAACUCCGCUCGCGAGGGAGGAGACGUUUUUGUGACGGUACCUGGAGAAGAAGCACCGGCUAACUACGUG
rnacentral:rRNA from 1 species